GACAGCUUCGGUGUCCUAGUGGCUAGAGCGUCCGCCUCAGAGGCGGGAGGUUGCUGGUUCGAACCUAGGUCGUGUCA